AUGAUUUAAUUUAAUGGCCGCGGUAUUUUGACCGUGCAAAGGUAGCAUAAUAAUUAGCUUAUUAAUUGUGAGCUUGUAUGAAUGGUUGGACGAAAUAUUAACUGUCUCAUUAUUAUUGUAUAUAAUUUAAUUUUUUAGUUAAAAAGCUUAAAUUUUUUUAGAGGACGAGAAGACCCUAUAGAUCUUUAUUUUCAUUAUUUUAUUUAUUAUUUUGUAUUUAUAAAUUUAUUGAAUUUUUAGUUGGGGUGAUUUUGAGAUAUAAUUAACUCUUUUUAUUUAUUUUCAUUUAUUUAUGUUUAAUUGACCUUUUAUUAUUGUUUAUAAGAUAAAGAUACCUUAGGGAUAACAGCGUAAUUCUUUUUGAGAGUUCAUAUUGACAAUGGAGAUUGCGACCUCGAUGUUGAAUUAAGAUAAAUGUUGGGUGUAGAAGCUUAAUUUUUAGGUCUGUUCGACCUUUAGAUUCUUACAUGAUCUGAGUCA
rnacentral:rRNA from 1 species